rnacentral:tRNA from 2 species
GGGCUAGUAGCUCAACUAGGUAGAGCGCCACUCUGAUAAGGUGGAGGCUUGCGGUUCAAAUCCGCACUGGCCCAC